rnacentral:rRNA from 1 species
GACGAACGCUGGCGGCGUGCUUAACACAUGCAAGUCGAACGGAAAGGCCCUGCUCUUGUGCGGUUCUCGAGAGGCGAACGGGUGAGUAAAACGUGUGUAAACCGUCCUUGUCUGUCGGAUAACUUCAGGAAAAUGGGGCUAAUACCGGAUAGGAGAUCCUGCUGCAUGGUGGGGGUUGGUAAGUUGCGGCGGUUGGGGAUGGUCUCGAGGCUUAUGCGCUGGUUGGUCGGGUAGUUGCUUACCAAGGCUUUGACGGGUAGCCGGCCUGAGCGGGUGGCCGGCCACAAUGGUACUAAGAUACGGCCCAGACUGCUACGGGAGGCAGCAGUGGGAAAUAUUGCACAAUGGGCGGAAGCCAGAUGCAGCAACGCCGCGUGCGGGAUGACGGCCUUCGGGUUGUAAACCGCUUUCGCCUUUGACGAGGCGUGAGUGACGGUAAUGGGUAAAGAAGCACCGGCUAACUACGUG